CCUACGGGUGGCUGCAGUCGAGAAUCAUUCUCAAUGGGCGAGACCCUGAUGGUGCGACGCCGCGUGGAGGAAUGCAGCUCUUCGGAUUGUAAACCCCUGUCAUGUGGGAGCAAAGUAAAAAGAUAGUACCACAAGAGGAAGAGACGGCUAACACUGUGCCAGCAGCCGCGGGAAUACAGCGGUCUCAAGCGUUGUCCGGAUUCACUGGGCGUAAAGGGUGCGUAGGAUGGUUCGUAAGUCGUGUGUGAAAGGCGCGGGCUCAACCCGAGGACGGCAAUUGAUACUGGGAGACUAGAGUAAUGGAGGGGGAACCGGAAUUCUCGGUGUAGCAGUGAAAUGCGUAGAUAUCGCGAGGAACACUCGUGGCGAAGGCAGGUUCCUGGACAUUCACUGACGCUGAGGCACGAAGGCCAGGGUAGCGAAAGGGAUUAGAUACCCCAGUAGUC
rnacentral:rRNA from 1 species